GGUAUUUCUGUUCGUCAUCCAGCAAGGUUUGUUUUAGUUGGUUCAGGAAACCCCGAAGAGGGUGAGUU
rnacentral:tRNA from 1 species